rnacentral:rRNA from 1 species
ACGGAGGAUGUGAGCGUUAUCCGGAUUCAUUGGGUUUAAAGGGUGCGUAGGCGGCUUUUUAAGUCAGUGGUGAAAUCCUGUCGCUUAACGAUAGAAUUGCCAUUGAUACUGAUAAGCUUGAGUACAGUUGAGGUAAGCGGAAUGUGUAGUGUAGCGGUGAAAUGCUUAGAUAUUACACGGAACACCGAUUGCGAAGGCAGCUUACUAAACUGCAACUGACGCUGAUGCACGAAAGCGUGGGGAGCGAACA